AGCGGCGCGAUUCCUAGUGAUUAGAGUUUGAUCAUGGCUCAGAACGUACGCUGGCGGCACGCCUAAUACAUGCAAGUCGAACGAAGUAGCAAUACUUAGUGGCAGACGGGUGAGUAACAUGUAGGUAUCUUCCCAUUGGUGAGGAAUAACACGAGGAAACUUGUGCUAAUACCUCAUAAGUCUUUACGGAGAAAGCUUUAUGCGCCGAUGGAUGAGCCUGCACUUGAUUAGUUUGUUGGUAGGGUAAUGGCCUACCAAGACAAUGAUCAAUAGCUGAUUUGAGAGGAUGAUCAGCCACAUUGGGACUGAGACACGGCCCAAACUCCUACGGGAGGCAGCAGUAGGGAAUCUUGCACAAUGGGGGAAACCCUGAUGCAGCGAUGCCGCGUGAGUGAAGAAGGCCUUUGGGUUGUAAAGCUCUUUCGUCGGGGAAGAAAAUGACUGUACCCGAAUAAGAAGGUCCGGCUAACUUCGUGCCAGCAGCCGCGGUAAUACGAAGGGACCUAGCGUAGUUCGGAAUUACUGGGCUUAAAGAGUUCGUAGGUGGUUAAAAAAGUUGGCGGUGAAAUCCCAGAGCUUAACUCUGGAACUGCCAUCAAAACUUUUUAGCUAGAGUAUGAUAGAGGAAAGCAGAAUUUCUAGUGUAGAGGUGAAAUUCGUAGAUAUUAGAAAGAAUACCAAUUGCGAAGGCAGCUUUCUGGAUCAUUACUGACACUGAGGAACGAAAGCAUGGGUAGCGAAGAGGAUUAGAUACCCUCGUAGUCCAUGCCGUAAACGAUGUGUGUUAGACGUUGGAAAUUUAUUUUCUGUGUCGCAGCGAAAGCAAUAAACACACCGCCUGGGGAGUACGACCGCAAGGUUAAAACUCAAAUGAAUUGACGGGGACCCGCACAAGUAGUGGAGCAUGUGGUUUAAUUCGAAGAUACGCGCAGAACCUUACCAACACUUGACAUGUUCGUCGCGACUUUAAGAGAUUAAAGUUUUCGGUUCGGCCGGACGAAACACAGGUGCUGCAUGGCUGUCGUCAGCUCGUGUCGUGAGAUGUUGGGUUAAGUCCCGCAACGAGCGCAACCCUCACUUUUAGUUGCCAUCAUUUAGUUGGGCACUCUGAAAGAACUGCCAGUGAUAAGCUGGAGGAAGGUGGGGAUGACGUCAAGUCCUCAUGGCCCUUACGUGUUGGGCUACACACGUGCUACAAUGGCAUUUACAAUAGGAAGCAAGACGGCGACGUUAGCAAAUCCUAAAAAAAUGCCUCAGUUCGGAUUGUACUCUGCAACUCGAGUACAUGAAGCUGGAAUUACUAGUAAUCGCGGAUCAGCGCGCCGCGGUGAAUACGUUCCCGGGUCUUGUAGACACCGCC
rnacentral:rRNA from 1 species